AGAUAUCACAAACCCUGACAACGGUUGGUAAUGCAGGUUGUUUCUGGCCCAAGCCGUGUUGCCUAAUCACAUAUGUCACAUCUUCAAGUUUAUUCUCUAUCCUUUGAUUAUCAAUUGUGUUGGUAAUGCGAACCUCACUUGCAGAUCUAGUUAGAGCAAUCAUGCUAGUGAUAAGUUGAUGCGAGUUUGAUGUCAUAUUCUCU
rnacentral:lncRNA from 1 species